rnacentral:rRNA from 1 species
GACGAACGCUGGCGGCGUGCUUAACACAUGCAAGUCGAACGGAAAGGCCCUGCUUUUGUGGGGUGCUCGAGUGGCGAACGGGUGAGUAACACGUGAGUAACCUGCCCUUGACUUUGGGAUAACUUCAGGAAACUGGGGCUAAUACCGGAUAGGAGCUCCUGCUGCAUGGUGGGGGUUGGAAAGUUUCGGCGGUUGGGGAUGGACUCGCGGCUUAUCAGCUUGUUGGUGGGGUAGUGGCUUACCAAGGCUUUGACGGGUAGCCGGCCUGAGAGGGUGACCGGCCACAUUGGGACUGAGAUACGGCCCAGACUCCUACGGGAGGCAGCAGUGGGAAAUAUUGCACAAUGGGCGGAAGCCGGAUGCAGCAACGCCGCGUGCGGGAUGACGGCCGUCGGGUUGUAAACCGCUUUCGCCUGUGACGAAGCGUGAGUGACGGUAAUGGGUAAAGAAGCACCGGCUAACUACGUG